GAAAUGCGAUAAGUAGUGUGAAUUGCAGAAUUCAGUGAAUCAUCGAAUCUUUGAACGCACAUUGCGCCCUUUGGUAUUCCUUAGGGCAUGCCUGUUCGAGCGUCAUUUAAACCUUCAAGCUCAGCUUGGUGAUGGGUGACUGUCUCCCCCCUCGCGGGGGGACUCGCCUCAAAAACAUUGGCGGCCGGUACAUUGGCUUCGAGCGCAGCAGAAACGCGGUCUCGAGUCCUGUGGAUCGGCUCCCAUAAGCCUCUUCUUUUAUUUUGACCUCGGAUCAGGUAGGGAUACCCGCUGAACUUAAGC
rnacentral:misc_RNA from 1 species